rnacentral:rRNA from 1 species
UACGGAGGGUGCAAGCGUUAUCCGGAUUCACUGGGUUUAAAGGGUGCGUAGGUGGGUUAGUAAGUCAGUGGUGAAAUCUCCGAGCUUAACUUGGAAACUGCCAUUGAUACUAUUAAUCUUGAAUAUUGUGGAGGUCAGCGGAAUAUGUCAUGUAGCGGUGAAAUGCUUAGAUAUGACAUAGAACACCAAUUGCGAAGGCAGCUGGCUACGCAUAUAUUGACACUGAGGCACGAAAGCGUGGGGAUCAAACAGG